rnacentral:rRNA from 1 species
AUUGAACGCUGGCGGCAUGCCUUACACAUGCAAGUCGAACGGUAACAGGUCUUCGGAUGCUGACGAGUGGCGAACGGGUGAGUAAUACAUCGGAACGUGCCUAGUAGUGGGGGAUAACUACUCGAAAGAGUGGCUAAUACCGCAUGAGAUCUACGGAUGAAAGCAGGGGAUCGCAAGACCUUGUGCUACUAGAGCGGCCGAUGGCAGAUGAGGUAGUUGGUGGGAUAAAAGCUUACCAAGCCGACGAUCUGUAGCUGGUCUGAGAGGACGAUCAGCCACACUGGGACUGAGACACGGCCCAAACUCCUACGGGAGGCAGCAGUGGGGAAUUUUGGACAAUGGGCGAAAGCCUGAUUCAGCAAUGCCGCGUGCAGGAUGAAGGCCUUCGGGUUGUAAACUGCUUUUGUACGGAACGAAAAGCCCUGGGUUAAUACCCUGGGGUCAUGACGGUACCGUAAGAAUAAGCACCGGCUAACUACGUGCCAGCAGCCGCCGUAA